CUUAUACUCCCUCUGUCCCGAAAUUCUUGUCCUAGAUUAGUCUAGAUACGGAUGUAUCUAAUACCAAAACUUGAAUUGAUACAUCCGUAUUUAGACAAAUCUAAGACAAGAAUUUUGGGACGGAGGGAGUAUUUC
rfam:Triticum aestivum genome assembly, contig: Triticum_aestivum_CS42_TGACv1_scaffold_213094_3AS